rnacentral:rRNA from 1 species
GGAUUCCCCUAGUAACUGCGAGUGAAGCGGGAAAAGCUCAAAUUUAAAAUCUGGUAGUCUUCGAUUGCCCGAGUUGUAAUUUAGAGAAGCGUUAUCCGUGUUGGACCGUGUACAAGUCUCCUGGAACGGAGCGUCAUAGAGGGUGAGAAUCCCGUCCAUGGCACGGACUACCAAUGCAUUGUGAUGCGCUCUCGAAGAGUCGUGUUGUUUGGGAAUGCAGCACAAAAUGGGUGGUAAAUUCCAUCUAAAGCUAAAUAUAGGCGAGAGACCGAUAGCGAACAAGUACCGUGAGGGAAAGAUGAAAAGAACUUUGGAAAGAGAGUUAAACAGUACGUGAAAUUGUUGAAAGGGAAACGCUUGAAGUCAGUCGCGUCGUUCAGGGAUCAGCCUUGCUCUGCUUGGUGUACUUCCUGUUCGACGGGUCAGCAUCAGUUUCGAUCGCUGGAAAAAGUGCGCAGGAAUGUGAUCUCCUCGGAGGUGUUAUAGCCUGUGUUCGUAUACAGCGGUUGGGACUGAGGAAUCAGCACUCGWUGCUUGGGAUGCUGGCAUAAUGGCUUUAAGCGACCCGUCUUGAAACACGGACCAAGGAGUCUAACAUGCCCGCGAGUGUUUGGGUGGAAAACCCGAGCGCGUAAUGAAAGUGAAAAGUUGGGAUCUCUGUCGUGGAGAGCACCGACGCCCGGACCAGAUGUUUUCGGACGGUUCUGCGGUAGAGCGUGUAUGUUGGGACCCGAAAGAUGGUGAACUAUGCCUGAAUAGGGCGAAGCCAGAGGAAACUCUGGUGGAGGCUCGUAGCGAUUCUGACGUGCAAAUCGAUCGUCGAAUUUGGGUAUAGGGG